rnacentral:rRNA from 1 species
CGGACGGGUGAGUAAUGCUUGGGAAUCUGGCUUAUGGAGGGGGAUAACUACGGGAAACUGUAGCUAAUACCGCGUAAUAUCUUCGGAUUAAAGGGUGGGACUUUCGGGCCACCUGCCAUAAGAUGAGCCCAAGUGGGAUUAGGUAGUUGGUGGGGUAAAGGCCUACCAAGCCGACGAUCUCUAGCUGGUCUGAGAGGAUGACCAGUCACACUGGAACUGAGACACGGUCCAGACUCCUACGGGAGGCAGCAGUGGGGAAUAUUGCACAAUGGGGGGAACCCUGAUGCAGCCAUGCCGCGUGAAUGAAGAAGGCCUUCGGGUUGUAAAGUUCUUUCGGUGAUGAGGAAGGUGUUUGUUUUAAUAGAGCAAGCAAUUGACGUUAGUCACAGAAGAAGCACCGGCUAACUCCGUGCCAGCAGCCGCGGUAAUACGGAGGGUGCGAGCGUUAAUCGGAAUGACUGGGCGUAAAGGGCACGCAGGCGGUGACUUAAGUGAGAUGUGAAAGCCCCGAGCUUAACUUGGGAAUUGCAUUUCAUACUGGGUCGCUAGAGUAUUUUAGGGAGGGGUAGAAUUCCACGUGUAGCGGUGAAAUGCGUAGAGAUGUGGAGGAAUACCGAAGGCGAAGGCAGCCCCUUGGGAAUAUACUGACGCUCAUGUGCGAAAGCGUGGGGAGCAAACAGGAUUAGAUACCCUGGUAGUCCACGCUGUAAACGCUGU